GACGAAGGUGGCGAGCGUUGUUCGGAAUCACUGGGCAUAAAGCGCACGUAGGCGGUGGCGUAAGUCGGAUGUGAAAUCCCUCGGCCCAACCGAGGAACUGCGUCCGAUACUGCGUUGCUUGAGGAUCAGAGGGGUGCAUGGAAUUUCCGGUGGAGCGGUGAAAUGCGUUGAUAUCGGAAGGAACUCCGGCGGCGAAAGCGAUGCACUGGCUGAUCUCUGACGCUGAGGUGCGAAAGCCAGGGGAG
rnacentral:rRNA from 1 species